rnacentral:lncRNA from 1 species
GUCUGUCAUGUCCAGCCUGUGAAGAGCACGCUGGCUGAGCUGGCGAGAGGGGUGGGGGCGUCCUGGGGCUGCUUCUGCUCUGAUGAAGGCACCCACUGUCACUGUCCCGGCCCUCGCUGAGUGUUCCCGGACCCGUGGGCCCGCGUCUGUGCCAGGCCUUGGGGAGCUCCAGCCUCGGAGCCUCUUCCCGUUCUCAGACCUCAGUGCGAGGAGGAAAUCGGGAUUCAAGUCUGCAAAAUAGAGGGGAGACCCCUAGGAGCUUGGGGACUGCGGAGGCCCCUAGGCCCAGGUGAGUCAUGCCAGGCUGCGCUCCAGAGGGCAGACAGGAGGUGAUGUGGGCCUCAGGGCUCUGAUGGUAGCAGCUGCUGGAGAAAGAGUGGCAUCAAAGUGGAACUGGGAGAGGGCUGGGGCCAGCUGCGAUGCAGGGAUGGGUGAGGUGCUGGCUGGCUGGGAACCCCAGCCUGUGGGGGCUUUGGCGGUGAAGGUGUCUUCCGGUGGAAAUGUCUUGGGGGAGGUGGCCUGGGGCAGCUCAGAGGCUGGCUGUGUCUUCCUGGCCCUGUCAUCCUUAGCAUGGGGCGUCCAGAGUUGUUGCCUUGUGGACCAAGACAGCCCACAGCCCAUGGCAGCUUCCAGAGCCAGAAGAAGAGGAGUCAUCUCUGAAGAGCCCUGGACUACCUCCUUGCGGAUCUCAUUGGCCAGAACUUUCUGGCUCUCAUGCUCACCACAAGGCCAAUCACUAGCAAGAUAAAAAAGGAGCACCCCGAAGGGCCGAGACCAGCUGUGCCUCCGGGCAGGGGAGGGGCUGCCCCUUCCUUACCUGAACUCAAUUCAUUUUAUUUUUAUUUUUUAACAUAAAAGGCAAUGGGAAUUCAGUGAGUGGACAGCUAGCCACCUCUGUGGCUGCCUGCCGUGUGAGCACGGGCCAUGUUCUAUCUUUGAUCUCCUCUGUGAAGCGGGAAUAACAGCAGGGGCUAGGUUCUGACCCCUCAGACCUCACCCCUGAGCUUUCCAAGCCUGCAUCCAUUUGCUCUUCAUCCCUACUCUCAAGACUUUCAGCAUCCCAUCUGCAGAUGAGGACUCAGAGGCCCCAGGUUCCGUAGCUGAGCUGAGGGGCCAGAGGUCCAGCCCAGAGGCUGUUGGCUCCGUGGAACCCCGGGAGCUCCCGGCUCCCAGUAGUGCAUGAAUGUGCAUGCGUGCAUGUGUGUGAAUGUGUGCAUGCACGUGCAUGUGUGUGUGCAUGCAUGUGUGCAUGUGUGUAUGUGCAUGUGUGUGCACGUAUCACGGACAAAUACACAUUAAAGUAUGAGUGGCACGGCCGUCCCCCCUCCGUCAUUCACUCACAGCCACAUAUGCAUAUGUGUGUGAAUGUGUGCAUCGUGCAUGUGUGCAUGUCUGAGUGUGUGCAUGUCUGUGAAUGUGUGUGUGCACGCAUAUGAGUGCAUGUGUGCAUAUCUGUGUGUGUGCAUGUCUGUGAAUGUGUGCGCAUGCAUAUAUGAGUGCAUGUGUGCAUAUCUGUGUGUGAGUGUGUAACUGUGUGCAUGUCUGUGAAUGUGUGUACGCAUGCAUAUAUGAGUGCGUGUGUGCAUAUCUGUGUGUGUGUGCAUGUCUGUGAAUGUGUACAUGCAUGUGAGUGCAUGUGUGCAUAUCUGUGUGUGUGCAUGCAUAUAUGAGUGCAUGUGUGCAUAUCUGUGUGUGUGUGCAUGUCUGUGAAUGUGUGCGCAUGCAUAUAUGAGUGCAUGUGUGCAUAUCUGUGUGUGUGGGCACGCCUGUGAAUGUGCGUGUGCAUGCAUAUAUGAGUGCGUGUGUGCAUAUCUGUGCGUGAGUGUGUGCAUGUCUGUGAAUGUGUACAUGCAUGUGAGUGCAUGUGUGCAUAUGUGUGUGUGUGGGCACGCCUGUGAAUGUGCGUGUGCAUGCAUAUAUGAGUGUGUGUGCGCAUAUCUGUGUGUGCGUGAGUAUGUGCAUGUCUGUGAAUGUAUACAUGCAUAUGAGUGCAUGUGUGCAUAUCUGUGUCUGUGUGCAUGUCUGUGAAUGUGUACAUGCAUGUGAGUGCAUGUGUGCAUAUCUGUGUGUGUGUGCGCGCAUGCCUGUGAAUGUGCGUGUGCAUGCAUAUAUGAGAGUGUGUGCAUAUCUGUGUGUGCGUGAGUGUGUGCAUGUCUGUGAAUGUGUACAUGCAUGUGAGUGCAUGUGUGCAUAUCUGUGAGUGUGUGUGGGCAUGCCUGUGAAUGUGCGUGUGCAUGCAUAUAUGAGUGCAUGUGUGCAUAUCUGUGUGCUUGAGUAUGUGCAUGUCUGUGAAUGUAUACAUGCAUGUGAGUGCAUGUGUGCAUAUCUGUGUGAGUGUGUGUGGGCAUGCCUGUGAAUGUGCGUGUGCAUGCAUAUAUGAGUGUGUGUGUGCAUAUGCAUGCACAUGUAUGAUGAGCCCAGCUACCAAGGCACCUGCUAAGCACAGCACCCGCACCCUGGAAACCCUCCCACAUGCCAUCAGUGAGGGUCAUGAGUCAGCAGAUAUGAUGUGCCUGACGUCAGUGCUCCUAAGAGAAGCCUAAACAAUUUUCAUAGGAAAUGCACCUAGGGACUGCAUUGUAUAAAUGCAACACUAAUGACAGAAAAUUUCAAAAAUACUGUGCACAAAGAAAAAUAGUCUCCCCUGUUAUCACAUCCCCCAUGUCACCCACCGUAAACAUGUUGAUGUCAAAGGCUUUCGGGUUUUGUCUGUGCACGUGUUCAUGUUAUUAGGUCAUUUUUUUUUCUCACAGGUUGAGACUGUGCUGCACUGCUGCUUUGUAAACCUGGAAGAUUUUUAUCGUGAAUAAAUACCUGCCGCAACAAUGCCUAAUGCUUUUGUGGGGUUCUGUUAUUUGGAUGUGCCACUGGCGGUGACGGCUGGCCCCUGGGUGGCCAUGUAAGGUGCUUCCAAAUCUCUGCGAUGGAGACGUCACCUCAGCUGCCUCUCCAGCCACGAGUCCUGGCACCUCCCCUGCCUCCUGCUUCCUGCUGCUGCUUCUCAGCCCCCAGGCACAUUCCUGCUGCAGGGCCUUUGCACAUCCCGGGAUUCUGGGGCUGUGCCCUCCCCAGGUCUUCUCACAGUCUGUCUGUCACUCCCCUGGGGCCUCUGCUCCAUUGUUUCUGGUCUGAUGAUACCUUCCAAGUCAGUCCUCUGGAGUGGCACAUUCGGGCCACAUGACAUGCCGGCCUACACUGUCCCCAGGGACGGUGGCCACUUGCCCUCUCGCUGCCUCUCCUCCCAUGCCCACCUCCCAACCCUGGCCAGUGUUUGAAAUCUCCAGUUCUGGAUUUUUUUUCACCCCCCAUGGCCAGCUUGGUGAGAAAUGACUUCUCAUUGUUGGAGUGUGUCUGGCUACACGCGAUUGUGUGUUUCUGUGCCUCUUGUCAUUUGCCCUUGUUUUAUGAAUUGCCACUUUGACCUUUUUGCUCAUUUGUCUAUCCAGUGCCUAUCUCUUCCCAAUGAUUCCUGUGUUCUCAGUGUAGGUGGCUGGGGAUGAGAACGGGAGCUUGUCCUCCCCCAUGCUGAGUCCAGCAUUCAGGAUGGAGUGACAUCUGGAUGGCCAUCAGCAUGCACCGGGGCUGGGGCUUCUCGAGGUCAGCAGGGUUUGAGGGUUGUCAGGGCUGUGUGCCACCAGGGCUUGGCAGGUCCCCAGGUGUGGCGUUUGCCAUGCUGGUGUCCCCUGCGCCACGGCACCUGUUCCCUGUGACCUUCCCCUGUUCCUGCUUCUCAGGUGAAACGUGGCCUGGAAGCUUCUGGUUAUGUGGAAGACAACAGCUAUAGAGGCCUCCCCGUGACCUCAGGGACCAAGGGCUGUGGAGAAGGGCUCACCGGGUGCAGACAGGGGCAGGUGGCCUGGGGGUCCCGAGCCAUGACAUCGGUCCUCUGUUUAGCCGGAAGGGUGCCUGUCAUUGGCACCAGCAGGCACAGGAAGGAGGGACCUUGUGUGAUGGCAGGUGGAGGGGUCUGCAUGUGUCUCUCCCUGCCAUGGCAACCUGUCUGCCCCCGUCCACCCUGCCUUCAAGUGCCAGAGGGUCAGGGGACAGCAAGGGCCACGGUGGCAGCAAGGACCCUGCAGAUGUUGCCCUGCAGUGCCCUGGAGAUCUGUAGACCUGGGGCCCCACCUGC